AGCUAGUGAUUUGAAAGAGGGGAUAGAACUGGAGGAGGGGGACAGCUAGAGGCAGGCAGGCAGGGCACAAAAGGGAGUCAUUGCUCAUCUCAAGCAAACCCGGCAAGUCCAUUCUCUGGCUACAGAUUAACAAAGAGCUCUGAAAAUGAGUUCUUUCGACUCUGUCGUACUGGACGCCGAGAAUCACAGAAAACCAGAAGGACAGAAUAAAUGGCAACUUGGGAUAAUGGAACAAAGCAACCACCAAGUUGCAGAUGCUGCCAUGACACCAACAUGACUUCCCUGAGCAAACGACCUCACCGAUGUGUCCUGGAACCCCACCUCCCCAAAGUCCUACCCCACUAGGGCAAGACAGAAACAGGCCGGGAAUAUGGAUCAUCCUGCCAAUGCCCAUGUCCAGCAGAGAAGCAAUUACAGAAGCCAGAACUUCCACCUUCGGCACCCCAUAAAGAUCCUGGGUCCAUGCUCCUAGAGAGAUAGAGAAUAGGGAAGCUUCCAAUGGAGAGGAUGGGAUGUGGAACUCUGGUGGUAGGAACUGUAACCCUCUUAUCCCACAAUCUUGUCAAUCAUUAUUAAAUCUCUAAUU